GUCUUCGUGGUGUAGUGGUCAGCACGCUCGAUGGGCAUUCGAGAGGUCAGUGGUUCGAGUCUCCGCAAGGGCA
rnacentral:tRNA from 1 species